rnacentral:rRNA from 1 species
AACGAACGCUGGCGGCAGGCUUAACACAUGCAAGUCGAGCGCCCCGCAAGGGGAGCGGCAGACGGGUGAGUAACGCGUGGGAACGUACCCUUUGCUACGGAAUAGCUCCGGGAAACUGGAAUUAAUACCGUAUGUGCCCUACGGGGGAAAGAUUUAUCGGCAAAGGAUCGGCCCGCGUUGGAUUAGCUAGUUGGUGGGGUAAUGGCCUACCAAGGCGACGAUCCAUAGCUGGUCUGAGAGGAUGAUCAGCCACACUGGGACUGAGACACGGCCCAGACUCCUACGGGAGGCAGCAGUGGGGAAUAUUGGACAAUGGGCGCAAGCCUGAUCCAGCAAUGCCGCGUGAGUGAUGAAGGCCUUCGGGUCGUAAAGCUCUUUUACCAGGGAUGAUAAUGACAGUACCUGGAGAAUAAGCUCCGGCUAACUCCGUGCCAGCCGCCGCCGUAAGAC